AGAUAAAAUAAGAAUGAGGAACAACGACAGUUUAAAACUGGAUCAAACCACGAGAAACACGAAAGGGUGUGUAGCAACAGGUAUUACACGGCAAGUAACCUAAAGGCUAAGCGACUCACGGAGAGGAAUGUAGAGGGCAGCCAAGCCUUUCGAGGAAAUUCAAUACCAGUUAAGUUACCUCGAUGCAAAUCUUAUAUAACACAGAUUUUCUUCAACGUAACAACAUAACAAAUUAAUGGAAAUAUUUUUGAUUGUAUAAUUGAACAAAUUCAAUUAAUCAAUUUUCAUUGGUUAGGUUUGGUCCUCUAAACUAUAGCGACAAAGGAAUUUGGCACGAUUUAUAAAAGGCGACUUAACGUCUCAUGGUCACCGGUUGAACGAGGAUAAAAGCUAUAUCACGAAUAAAUCCGGCGGCCGUACGUCUUCUCGAAGAUUAGAUCGCCAUAUCCGGCGUGACUCGAUGCGAUGCGCUGCACCGCUGGAUUUUCGAUAAUAAAACGACAGGAUCGCGAUCGUUAAUCUCGUAAAAGGAAGCGGUUACCGUUAGAUGCGUCCACCGAAGUGCAUCGUUUCUUUUCUAUCGGCCAAGUCGAGUGUCGUUUCUACGCCCGUGACACUUUUCACUCCAAGUACUCUUUUCGUCGUUGUACGUACACUUCCUGUUCGCCGUACGUGAAUCGUCAAUGGGCUUUUAGUAGAGAAUAUUUACAUGCAUUCCAUGAAUUUUUACAUGCAAUUGUGAUUAGUGCUUGGUUGAGAAGUACAGUCAACCGCGAAAAUAUAUCGUAUAUCUUAUAAGAAAAUUUUAUGAUGAAAAUUUUGAAUUCGUAAUUUUGUAAUAAGCAAUUUAUUUUUCGAAAAAUCUCUUUGAAUGCGAGAAAUCGAUUAAAUUUUUUUCAUUUUUGUUUCGUACGCAUUUCGGUUAGAAAUAUUUUUUCUUUCUUUAUUUUUCAAGUACAGGAUAAUAAAGAAUAGUCUAAUAUCAUAGUCACAAUAAAUUUCAUAAAAAACAGAAAUAUCUUUGAUUUUAAUAACACAAUUUAUUAAUUUAUUAAUUGAAUUUGCGUAUAUGAUAUAUGAAAAGUUUUAUGACUAACUGUAAUUUGUAUAGAAUUUUAUUAGAUGGGAUUGAAGUUCGUGUAAUGAUAUAGUUAAUAUAUUCAAAUUUUUUUCUAAAUUCAUUUCUAAUAAAUUUAUCGAUGAUGUUAUUUCUAAUAUGUACUUCGAAAUUUUUUAUUCCUCUAUUUAAUUGCCUUGUGGAAACCUAUUCUUAAAUAUGCUAUAACUAUUGUAAUUAAAAUAUUAAUUCGAUAGGAA